rnacentral:tRNA from 1 species
GGCGGUGUAGCUCAGUUGGUCAGAGCAUGCGGCUCAUAUCCGCAGUGUCCGGGGUUCAA